rfam:Gongylonema pulchrum genome assembly, scaffold: GPTH_scaffold0001729
CCCUCAUCAGACGAUGCAAUACUGGUCGAAGCAACAACUGCAGCGAACAAAGCAAUGAACUGAGGAGCUGAAAGUAAGUAAAUAUGUGAAAAGCGUCAAACAGUUUUAUUUUUGCUUUAAGUCUUACUAAGGCUACACGAAAACAUCAGAUCACAGGUAACAUGCCCUAACCUGUACCUGGUAGCGGGUCGCAUUUACACAUUGUAGAUAGGCUAGUUACCUGUAAUGUGAUUUUUUCGUGUGUUGAGAGCUGGAACGGAAAUCCAGCAUCGGCACUGGAAUUAUACGUACGAAUAGCAGAUAUAUCUCUCUCAUAUAUGUAUUGAGAACAGACUUAGAAUGUUCAGGAUGGGCAUGGUGACUUUUGGUGUAACCGGUUGUAACGAGUAACGGAGAAUAAGGGUUCGACUCCGGAGAGGGAGCCUACCACAUCCGAGGAAGGCAGCAGGCACGCAAAUUACCCACUCUCAGCAUGAGAAGGUAGUGACGAAAAAUAACAAGACCGUUCUGUUUGAGGCUGGUUAUCGAAAUGGGUACAGUUUAAACCCGUUAACGAGGGGAUCUAUGAGAGGGCAAGCCUGGUGCUAGCAGCCGCGGUAAUCCCAGCUCUUACGG